AAUAAAAUGCCACUAAGUGUGUGGUAACGAAAAAAAGAAAAAGAAAACGGCAGAGCAUGAAUCAAUCCUGAUUCUCUUUACUAGUUCAGCCCAUUCAUUCCCUUCCAUUUCGUUCCUUUCUCUUACUCCUUCAUAGUAAUUGCACCUCAAAAGUAUAUUCAAUUUUUCUCCCUUUCGGCUAAAAUUACAGAAUUAAGUGCGAAAUUGAAUGGGGUCGCUGUUUCGAAUGAGCUGAGCAUAAAGGGGGUUGAUCAAGGUGAUUUUAAGAGGAUAUAGUUCUAGCUAAUUCAAAGCAAACAAAAGGUUAGUACUUUGCUUAUAAAUAUUUCAUAUGAAGUUACAAAGUUAGUUUUAGAAAGUUUAUAAUAAUUAGUUGAUGUGAUAUGAGAGGUGGCUUAAACGAUUGUGAAUUGGAAGCAAAGAAGUUUAGGUUGGGUUGUGAGGAGUAAUAAGGUGGAAAAAAUGAGGCUAAAACUCAUACCAAACCUCAAGAAAUUUGAACUUUGAAAGAAGUCACACAUAGUGUUUGACAAAAGUCCUAUAUGGAUUGUUUUACUUAAAAACCAAGAAUUGAUAAAGCCAAAGUUAAGAUUGCAUGUAUGAACAUCUUAUACAGUUAGUUAAAAAUUUAUAAGGAAUCAAACUAGAACGAAAAAUGAUUUAAAGCUAAAACAAGAAAUCAAAAGUUAGUUUGUCGGGCUACUUUUGGGCUAACUGUUUCGGCUAGUUAGACUUUCUGGAAAAUUAUAAUUUUCUGGGGACUUGUAGUGUGCUGUCCCAGCUAUUCGUAGCCUUCGGAACGGACUAAUUCCGACUUCGGAGGAGGGAGUUAUGGAAUUCUAAUGUGACUGUGGCGAAUCUGUCCAAAAUUUGGAAAUCAAAUUUGAACCUGUCCCUUGCGCGAAUUUUCUGGAAUUAUGGGUGCAGAAUUUGGAAAAGGCUAUGGAAUAGGAGUUGUAGCCCCGGAAGUUAGCUUCGCGUGGGCUCAAGAAUUGCUUAAAAAUGUUUUGAAACGAAGAAGUUAUGACUGUUUUAGCGAGAGAGGGUAAAGCUGGGAAAAAGUUAAAAACCGUUAUGAUUGGGCAUUUUUAAGGCCUGUUUUGGACUGCCUAAGAUGUCCAAAAUGGGUGGCUUAUAUUUUCUAAAUAUAUUAUCUUAUGGUAUCUACAAUAUAUCCAAAAUUGGGGGAAAACUAACUUACGAAUUAAAAAUUACAAAAUAGUAAAGUGGCCUCGUCGCGAAGAGGGCUGCUGCCCAUAGCAGCAGCGUGCAACAGCAACGCAGUGCAGUGGCAGUGGUUGGAGGCUCUCUUUUGAUCUCUCAGUCGACGUGGUGAAGUUGCUUAUAUAACUUGGUUAGUACCUCUAAAUUUCUAGGAUUGCCUAGCUAAUGUGCUUUGGUAAUAGAUGAAUGUACCACUUGUAUGAUAUCCAAAACUUUAAGACAAAUGAAUCAAAGAUGUGGGGAAUCAAAGUUACGCGAAGUGAGGGACAAGGGAAGCAGCUGCUGCCUAUUGGUAGCAGCAAAUAGCUGCCAUAGCAGUUUUAGGUGGGCUAUUUUAACUCUAGGAUGUAGUUUGAAGAUCUAACCAUAGGGUUGGGUUAAAACUUUCUAAAUAAACAAAUGUAUAGAAUUUACAUCAGAUUCACAAUUUAAAAUAAGUGAAUCUACAAUGGAAUGGCUAGCAAGGUAAAUGUUUAAAAGUUGAGGCUAUAAAAUCAAACAGGGCCAUGAUAAAGGGUUGUUUUGGUAUUAUGAACAAAAACAAGAAUAGUUAAUGCAUUAGUGUGUCAAAAUAAAAUUAUAAAUCAUUGGGAAGACUAAAAGUUAAUCAUGCAAGUUGAAAAUACCUUCAAAGCAUGAAAUGAGCUAAGAGAUCACUUUGUAUGCUAAAAAUUAUGUAAAGGAUCAUGGAAUGCUCAUGUAUUAAGUUCUUGGUAGGGUAUGUAUUAUAAUUGUAAUGUGUUUGCAUACUACAAGCACAUCAAAGCUUAUUGAAGAGAAAAAUGGUUAAUGUAAGAAAAUGAAUGAGGUAUUUGAAAAAUGUAUAUAAGCUUCUCAAAAGCUAAAACCUAAACUAAUCAACAUGGCCAAUGCAAAUGUUUAUUAGCUAUACAGGUUAUAUAUUAUGGACAUGGGCUAAUACAUUCAUAUGUGUGAAUAUGACUGUAUAGGAUUUGUGAAAGGAAGUGAAGUUGUAAUUGUGCAAAGAAAGGCACAGAGGCACUAUACGACAGUAAAUUUGUAAAUAUUUACAUAUUAAGCCUGUAAAUACAUUAUAAAAGGGUUAUAAACUGUAAAUGUAAUGUAUUGACACUUUAAAAGCCGUGUUAGAACUUUUUGAGAAUGUAUGGCUAUAUUAAGCCAAAACUUAAAAUAUUCAAGAGGAAUAUGGAGGUUUCUCGGAAAUAAGAAUAUCAAUUAUUGAUAUAGUUUAUGUAAAUAUUUAUUAGCUAUACAGGUUAUGUAUAUGAAUGUGUGACUAAUGUAUGCAUACAUGUGAACAUAAUUGUGUAGGAUUCGUGAAGUGAAGUUAAACCAAAGUUAGUAUCAAUGGUCAUUUAACGAGGCAAGUUUUUCAGUUCUAUUAUGUUUGUGGAUUAAAUGUGAUUAUAUGGUGAGUUACAUACCAUGUUGUAUGAAUUGUUAAAGUCAAAAUAUGAAUAAGUUAAUUGGGUUAUGGAACUCAAUUUAUAUGUGAUAUGUGAUAGCACAUGAUGUAUGAUGUAACUUGAUAAUUUAGAAAUGUAUAAUGCAUGAAUGUAUGUGUUGUAAGGAAUUAUUGAUGCAUGUAGGAUAUGCAUAGUA
rnacentral:lncRNA from 1 species